AUGCUCUGAUUUCUCUUCAGAUCAUAUAAAUCUUUCACCUUUUACUAAAGAAGCCCAUGGAGAGGAACAUUUAUGAGUUGGGCCACAG
rnacentral:snRNA from 11 species